GAUGAAGAACGUAGCGAAAUGCGAUAAGUAAUGUGAAUUGCAGAAUUCAGUGAAUCAUCGAAUCUUUGAACGCACAUUGCGCCCGUCAGUAUUCUGGCGGGCAUGCCUGUUCGAGCGUCAUUACGCCCCUCAAGUCCCCUGUGGACUUGGUGUUGGGGAUCGGCGAGGCUGGUUUUCCAGCACAGCCGUCCCUUAAAUUAAUUGGCGGUCUCGCCGUGGCCCUCCUCUGCGCAGUAGUAAAACACUCGCAACAGGANNNNNNCGCGGUCCACUGCCGUAAAACCCCCCAACUUUUUAUAGUUGACCUCGAAUCAGGUAGGACUACCCGCUGAACUUAAGCAUAUCAAUAAGCGGAGGA
rnacentral:misc_RNA from 1 species